UCUCUUCCUCUUAAAUGGGGAUCACUAUGGGAGUGUUUUCUGGGAGUCUCUGAAGGAGGAAUUCCACAGAAUGUCAAAUGUUCUGAUCCUAGAGGCUCAGAGACUGGAGUGGCCCUAGUUCCACAGGAGGAGAAAGACUUUCUCUUUUUAAAACCGGAAAUAUAUCCUGCCUGAAAUAAUUUGGAGAACUCCUCGUUGUGAAGUCUACAGGGACAUCAAAAAAACACAGCUAUCUGUUCCCCAGCUAUAUCUUCUUCUUUAUCCCUUGGAACAUUUGUAGCUGCACUUCCUACAAGAAGGAACCAUUUGUAAUCAUGAGCAAAGGUUGAUUCAAGAUUUUAUCGAAGGUAAGUCCCAUCAUGUCUAUGGACUUCAGUUUCCAGACAUGAAACACAAGAGGCUUGGACGAGAUUAGAAAUCAAGAACUCGAAUGCGUAUGGUCAGAGCCACGAGAGUUUCCAUAAAGGAACACAACCAUGUGGACAACUUGAUUAUGCCCUACAAAACUGAAUUCCUGUGAGCAUUCCUCUUCAAGAUGGAAGAAAAAGGGAAUAUUUCACAACCCCAAUGGUGAAACGUCUGCCUAUAGCCAACAAUACAAUCUCCAUCCAUGUAUGAUGUGACUUGCUCCUACAUGCCUUCCACCAUGAUUAUGAGGCCUCCUGAGCCAUGUGGAACUGUAAGUC
rnacentral:lncRNA from 1 species